AAUAAAAAUUAAAUGCAAGCAACGCAAUAUAAGUACAAUAGAACAAAGAUACAAAUGAAGAAAUCUGUGCAUUUCAGGUAGGUCUAACAGUAUUUUUCAGAUACAGAAAUUGAAAAAAGUAAUCAAAUGUAAAAUAACACGGCAUAUCUUCACUAAUUAGGAUUAACCUUUAUUUAAUCUGCACAAAGUUACAAAUCGUUAUUCAGUGAAAAGCAGGGAGUGACUUCCUCUUUUGUAGUUUGAUUAACAUUUAAAAACACAGACAGGUGAAGGUUACUACCACUUUAAGACUAAUGCACGGAUCAAAUUAUGAUAGGCAAUGAAUUCAUUCUUUUUCUACUUCUUCUCAAAACCGUCUGUUUACUCGCAAAGGCCGGCAUUUUUUUUAAAAAUGUGUGAAUUUGCAAGGAGAGAACUAGAAUUAAUUUUGUAAUUUGCACGCUGUCGCGCAGCUGUAAGCGCUUCCAGUGUGUGCUCUUCUCACAUAGCGCAUGCAAGUUCUCUUUCGCUUGAAUGCUUAAAUUGACAAGGCUUAAAAAUGCGUGCAAAAUGUAAACUUUUAUGAUCAUGCAGCACUGGCCCAAUCGGGACAUUGACAGUUCCUUCAACCGCAAUGCUUUUCAGAUAUAAUGUAAUGAAAAUAAAUACAGAAAAACGAUGAGAAUUGAUAUUGAAUUGACCACAUUUAAAAAAAAAAAAUUCCCCUUUUUUUGCCUAUUCCUAUUUGGUAUAUGUGAUGAGAUUAAAACAUAUUUUUCUUUUCUUUUAGCACACCCCACCUUUACAUGGCACACAAGUAUAUGACACACAACACAGGUCUUCUCAGGAGGCUGUGCCUACAGGUAGGAAUUAUACAAAGUGAUCUCUCUCGGUUUACUCUGACAUAUCUACGUACAAUGUUUUGCUAGUAAUCUGCUAUGCCUGCUUUUUCUUGUGUCUUACAGCAAAAGGCUUUAUGCCCAGCUGCACUACUUCCUGAACUUCAGCCAGCUCCUUGUUUCCUGUCUGCCAUUAUUGGACAAACUGAUUAAUCCAGGUGUGCCUGAGCUUAGUAGUCACAACAACAAUAAUCAGACACAACUUAUCAGUUUGUCCAGUAAUGGCAGACAGGAAACAAGGAGCUGGCUGAAAUUCAGGAAGUAGUGCAGCUGGGCAUAAAGCCUAUUGCUAAAGAGAUCCUCAUCCAGCUCGAUUCUAUUAGAGAGCAGCAGUUGCAGACUUCACCCCAGACCCAACACAUUUUGGGCUCCCACUUUCAACUAUUGAGGAGCUACAAUGUUUGUAGGAGACAUUAAAUAAUCCAGAUGAGAAGAAGAAUUUGACUGUUUUUCCUGGAAUGGUCGGAGACAAGACUCUUAAAGACACCGUGGGGUGGGUCCUGAAAAAAACAAUGAACUCUUCGUGGCGAGACUCAUUAAUUGGAGUGGGGUCAACUGAAAGCCUGCAUUCAAAGGGCUCACUUUGAAAAGUGUGGUUUUGGAUGCAGUCCGCCGGAAUGCCCUGACCAAAGAUGACACAGAAAAGGAGAUAGAGCUCCUCAUCACCAGGUGGUCGGUGCUAGCAUAUGACAGGGAUGGUGGCCGAAUCCAGACAAUAGACAGACAAUGAAUUAAAACGUUUUAAAUUUAAAAAUGUUGAUUUUUGGAAAAUUCGUAUUUGAACUGAUUGUGUGUGUGUGUGCACCUGGUAAUUAUCACGUUGUGUCCCCACAAAGAUAGGAAUACUAGUAUUUUUGUGACCUUGUGUCCCCAUGAGGAAACAAGCUUAUAAAUCAAACAAAAUGAUGUUUCUUGUAAAUGUGGAGUAGGAGAAGGGUUUCUGUGAUGGUUGGGUUUAGGGAGUGGGGUAGGUAAGGGGAAUAAAAUAUACAGUUUGUAUGGUGUAAAAUGCAUUACGUCUAUGGAAUGUCCCCACAAAACAUGGAAACCUGUUUGUGUGUACGAGAGAGAGAGAAUGUGUGUUCAAGUGAAUAAAAAAUGGAUUAAACGUGAAAUCCUUGUUCUUCCUUGUGUGUUUUAUUUUCAGUUAAUGUUGCAUAAUGGUUGCUUAGCAACUUUAGUAUUAACCAAUCAAUAAAAUCAAUCAAUUAAACAAGCCCAAAUAAGGAACAGGAUUGGAGGGAAGCUUACGUCCUCUCACUCGGGGUUCCGCAAUUGGGGCGCGUUAAAACCGAGCGCUCGCAGAGCAAUCCGACCUAUAUGGGAAGCCGAACUCCUCAAAAGAAGGACGAAACUGCGCCACUCGAUUGAUCCGCGCUGCGCGGACCAAUUAUAUGCGCGGCCCAAUGGACAGAGCCGCGCGACUAUCUGGAUAGCGCAGAGAUGAGUUGUUUACUUGCGCCACCCAAUGGAUAGCGCAGCGCUGACCAGUUUCAUCAGAGCAGCGCGACCCACUGGGAAGCGCACCGCGACUCUGAUGGAAUAGACUCGAUUUACCCACAAUUCUCUGCUAGUAUACAAUUUAUUUCCAGUUUAAAUAACCAUUUUGUUUAUUUUGCCACAAGACAACUUAAUUUACUAAUGCAUAAGUUAAAACAGCAUCUAA